rnacentral:rRNA from 1 species
UGGGGAAUAUUGGACAAUGGGCGAAAGCCUGAUCCAGCCAUGCCGCGUGUGUGAAGAAGGUCUUUGGAUUGUAAAGCUCUUUAAGCAGGGAGGAAGGGCAGUAAGUGAAUACCUUGCUGUCCUGACGUUACCGACAGAAUAAGCACCGGCUAACUCUGUGCCAGCAGCCGCGGUAAUACAGAGGGUGCAAGCGUUAAUCGGAAUUACUGGGCGUAAAGCGCGCGUAGGUGGUUCGUUAAGUUGGAUGUGAAAGCCCCGGGCUCAACCAGGUAACGGCAUCCAAAACUGGCGGGCUAGAGUGGAGCAGAGGGUGGUGGAAUUUCCUGUGUAGCGGUGAAAUGCGUAGAUAUAGGGAGGAACACCAGUGGCGAAGGCGACCACCUGGGCUGAUACUGACACUGAGGUGCGAAAGCGAGGGGAGCGAACAGG